GCCUUCUUGUCUUAUAUAUGUGGCUGCACCCUGCCACGGUCACAGAGAUUCCAGGAGCAGCAGGAACAGGACUGCCCAUCAUGUGGAACCCAAACCAAGGAAUGGGCAGUGGACAGCCCCCAUGUCAACCACCACCUUAUGUUCAGCAGCCGCCACCAUCUCAGUACCCACCACCAUAUAUGCCCUCAUAUAAUCAGGUGGCAGGUAUGCCACCAGGCCCAGGCUAUGCUGUCCCACCAGGGAGCUAUCCCCCCGGUACCAACCCCUACCCUCCAGGAUAUGUUCAACAAUGCAGCUGUGCAAACCGUGAGUGCUGUCAAUGUUCUAAACAUCAUGGUCACCGUGGACGUGGACGUGGGCGCAGAGGACACCGAGGACAUCAUCAUGACUGCUGUUGACACUAGUACAUUGUUGGAUAUGUAAAUAGACUGUACCCCAGGAUGACUGAAUUGCAUUCCUAAAUCUGAGGGGACUCCGGAUUGACCGAGGAUUACGGGCUUGCACGUAGAGAUUUGCAUACCCAUUUGGAUGAGACAUGGGAAAACCAGUUCAUACAGAUGGACUAUAACAAUGACUAAGUGUUCACUAUUUGAAGGAAGACAAUUAGACAUGACACUGCCCUCUCCUGGCUGUCCUCCUACCUCUCCGAAAGUUCCUUCUCUGUCUCUUCUCAUGACCCCCCUCCCCCCCUACUUCCAUUAACAGUUGGCGUCCCCCCAAGGUUCUGUUCUAGGACCUCUCCUUUUCUCCCUCUAUACGUCUUCUUUUAGGUGAGCUCAUCAGCUCUUUUGACCUCCAAUAUCACUGAUGACACUCAGAUCUACCUUUCCUCCCCUGACCUCUCCCCCUCUUUUCUCAUUUGUAUCUCCAACUGUCUCUCUGCUAUCUCUUCCUUGAUGUCCCAACGCUUUUUUUAACUAAACAUGUCUAAGGCUGAGCUGCAGUAAUUAUCUUCACACCUCCCCGCAUAACCUCACUUCCCACAAUUUAAUUAUUUAUUGACAGCACAACCAUUUCCUCUAGCCCCCAAGUGUGCUGUCUUGGAGUUAUCCUUGACCCCUCCCUCUGUUCCAAACAACACAUUCAGUACCUGUCGCAAUCCUGUCAUUUCUACCUCAAAAAUAUCUCCAGAUUCAGACCCUUUCUCACCAUAGAUGCUACUAAGACCCUCAUCCACUCACUGAUAAUCUCCAGACUGGACUAUUGUAUCCUCCUCCUAACCAGCUUUCCUGACAUUCACCUCUCUCCACUCCAAUCUAUUCUCCAUAGUGCUGCCCGACUCAUCUUCAAAUGUUCUACAUCUGCCUCCCUUCUCCUACAAGCCCUACAUUGGCUUUUCUUUCUUUUCAGAACCCAAUUCAAGCUUUUCACACUCACAUACAAAGCCCUCACCCAUUCCUGUCCAAUUAAUAUCUCUGACCUCAUCUCUCUUCACACUCCCGCCCACCCUCAUUGCUCCUCAAUUGAAUGGCACCUCUCCUGCCAACAGAUUACUUCCUCCCAUUCCCGUCUCCCAAGAUUUUUACCAUGGUGCUCCCUAUCUCUGAAAUUCUUUACCUCUCCCUAUCAGACCGUCCACCCCGCUACAAAACUUCAGCUGGGCGCUCAGUCUAACCCUCUGUCUACCCCACUUGUGUCACCCCUGUCUGUCUACCCCUGCCCUUUAGAAUGUAAGCACUCACGAGCAGUGCCCUUUUCCCUCAUGUGCUUUGCUUCCCUACUAAUACUAUCAUAUACUCCAUGCCACCUAACCAUUAGCUUCUGCUACCAUGCUGCUUAUUUGAGUGCUAUGACCUCUGAUGCAGCAAUGUUUAUAUACCAUGUACUUGUUUUCUUGUGUGCUUAUAUGUUUAUGUACUCUAUUAGGUGCUGUAGAACCCUUGUGGCACCAUAUAAAUAAAUGAUAAUAAUAG